rnacentral:hammerhead_ribozyme from 1 species
GCACUGCUAAAGAGUCCCACAAUAGGACAAAACGGCCGUCCAGUGU